UGAAUACUGUGCUAGAAUGAUAAAACCAUCGUUCCCUCCCAUUUCAUACUGAUAUAAUAAUUGAAACUCCGCAGACUAUAUCUAAUGUAGGUAGGGCUCUCAGUCGGUUCGUUUAUUGGCAUGGUUAUUCUUCUUAGGUCUGCGUGCACAGCAGAGUCAGCGAAAGAGAGUACCACCAUAGGGAGAGAGCGGUUCUGAAGCUGCUAUGAGACCAGGCUGCAAUACAGUUCUGCAAAUUCAGUUUGUCUAUUACAACUAUGGAUGCAUUGUGAGUCAGUGAACUGACAGAGCCUAGUGAGAAACAGAAGCAGACCUUUUGGAAUUUGUCUCUUUGUUCGUCGCCAAUGCAAAAGGAAAUAUGCAGCGAAGCUUUACCUUGGUCUUUGUCAGUUUUUGUGUUGGGUUUUGCUAUGGGUCAAGUUUCCCAAGUAAUAUCAAUAUAGGGGGAUUGUUCCCAAAAGGCUCCCAUGAAAAUGAGGUUUUUCAUUUUGCACUCUCCCAUCACCAGGAUAUCCCCAGACUGGUACCACAAGUGGACAUGGUCGACACCGCAAGUAGCUUUGCUAUGACAUAUGCAUUUUGUUCACAGUUUUCCAAAGGAGUCUACGCCAUCAUCGGACUGUAUGACAGGAAGACCAUGAACAUGCUCAUGUCAUUCUGUGGGGCUCUCCACGUCUGCUUUGUGACACCCAGUUUCCCCAUAGAAACCAACAACCAGUUUGUGAUCCAGCUGAGACCGGAACUCCAGGAGCCCCUCAUUGCCCUAAUCCAGCACUACAAGUGGACCAAGUUCGUUUACAUGUACAGCUCACAUUCAGGCCUGACAGUACUCCAGAAGAUUUUGGACACUGCAGCAGAGAAGACAUGGCAGGUGACAUCAGUGAACCUGGACAGUGGUAUGGAUCAGACGGCUUUCUUGAAGGUGGUUCAGGACCUAGAGAAGAAGAAGGAGUACAACAUCAUCCUGGACUGUGAGCUGGAGAGACUCAACAUGAUCCUCAACCUGAUCGCUGCUCAGAAGAAAAACCUAAAAAAGUAUCACUACAUAUUGGCAAACCUGGGCUUUUUGGACAUGAACUUCACCGAGUUUCAGAAGAGUGGUGCCAAUAUCACCGGGUUCCAGCUAAUGAACUACUCUGACGAAAAUGUCAGCAAGGCCAUAGAGGAGUGGGUGGACUUUGACAGCAAAGACCUCAAACUACCCAAGGGAAGACUGAAGUACACAGGAGCCCUCACAUACGACGGAGUGAGCGUCAUGGCAACUGCGUUUCAGAACCUUCGGAAGCAGCGUAUUGACAUUUCCCGGCGAGGUAAUGCUGGCGAGUGUCUGGCCAACCCACCAGCUCCCUGGGGCCAGGGUAUCGACAUCCAGAGAGCCCUACAGCAGGUUCGGAUUGAGGGAUUGACUGGACAUGUCCAGUUUAACGAGAAAGGCCAUCGGACCAACUUCACAGUCAGCAUAAUGGAGCUGAGCCCAAGUGGACCACUGAAGGUGGGCUACUGGAAUGAGAAUGAGAACUAUGUGAACACAGCCGUAUACACGCCGGUGGUUGAAGAAUUCUUCGGACUGCAAAACAGGACAUACGUUGUGACCACUAUCCUUGAAUCUCCAUAUGUGAUGCUAAAGAAGAACCACGAGCAGCUGGUGGGGAACGAUAAGUAUGAGGGCUAUUGUGUGGAGCUGGCCGCCGAGAUCGCCAAGCACGUGGGCUACACCUAUAAGCUAGAGGUCGUGAGCGAUGGCAAGUAUGGAGCCAGAGACGCUGAGUCCAAGAUGUGGAACGGGAUGGUGGGCGAGCUGGUUUAUGGGAAAGCGGAUGUGGCAGUAGCCCCGUUGACCAUCACCCUGGUAAGAGAGGAGGUGAUCGACUUCUCCAAGCCCUUCAUGUCCCUGGGCAUCUCCAUCAUGAUCAAGAAGCCUACCAAGUCCAAACCUGGAGUCUUUUCCUUCCUGGAUCCUCUGGCCUACGAGAUCUGGAUGUGCAUUGUGUUUGCUUACAUCGGCGUGAGCGUGGUUCUCUUCCUGGUCAGUCGCUUCAGCCCGUACGAGUGGCAGGGGGACGACUCCGAUGGGGAGGAGGGUCAAGAGCAGCAGCAGAGACAGCAGCACAACCAGCCAUCGUCCUCCAGUCCCAGGAGAGAGCCAGGUCAGUCCCAGUCCCAACAGGGCCAAAACCAGGGCCAAGGACAGGGACAGGGCCAGGGGCAGAACGAGGGGCACACCAAUGAGUUUGGGAUAUUCAACAGCUUGUGGUUCUCUCUGGGCGCCUUCAUGCAGCAGGGCUGUGACAUCUCGCCAAGGUCCCUCUCUGGUCGCAUCGUGGGGGGCGUGUGGUGGUUCUUCACCCUCAUCAUCAUCUCCUCCUACACGGCCAACCUGGCUGCUUUCCUCACAGUAGAGAGGAUGGUGUCACCCAUAGAGAGUGCUGAGGACCUGGCCAAGCAGACAGAGAUCGCCUAUGGUACCCUAGACGGAGGCUCCACCAAAGAGUUCUUUAGGAGAUCGAAGAUCGCCGUGUUUGAGAAGAUGUGGUCCUACAUGAAGUCUGCCGACCCGUCAGUGUUUGUGAAGACCACAGACGAGGGCGUGGUGCGGGUCAGGAAGUCCAAAGGGAGGUAUGCUUACCUGCUGGAGUCCACCAUGAACGAGUACAUCGAGCAGAGGAAACCAUGUGACACUAUGAAGGUGGGCGGGAACCUGGACUCUAAAGGAUACGGCAUUGCCACGCCCAAGGGAUCAGCACUAAGAAACCCAGUAAACUUGGCAGUGUUAAAACUGAACGAGCAGGGCCUGUUGGACAAAUUGAAAAACAAAUGGUGGUACGACAAGGGCGAAUGCGGCAGCGGGGGAGGUGAUUCCAAGGUCAGCCCCAGUAUGAGAAACCUAGCGGGUAACCACGACGAUGGGGGUAACCGGCAAUGUACCUUGAAAAACACACUGGCUGCAAUACCACAAAUCCCCCUUCGUCCUUGGUGACGUUAGUUUGUGUAACCGUAGAACUAUACUGUAUUAUAAAUUCUUCAAAAAUGUGCCGUUUACUUUCAAAGUAGUUGUAUUAGCAAUCCCCGAAAGAACACAGUUUUGAGUAUGUUUUGACUACUGUCUUUAUAGAGCAACAAUAAUUGACAGGUUUGCAUAUCUGAGUGUUUACAUUUUGCCGGUUACCCAAAGUGAUAUAGUAAUACACAUCUUGCAGUAGGGAGAAAGGACACAAAAGCUAGAUGGAGUAUUAAUGCAUAUCACUUUGGCAGUGACAGUUUCAAGUUGUGAUUGUGUUUUUUUUGUUUAUCUAUCUAGAUAUCUAUACAUAAUAAUGGGUGUAUGUUUACUAUGUGCUGAAUAACAUAAGAUAACAUGGGUAAUGUUAUUUAUGUUAUUUCCCUGGUUGAAGAAUCCCCGUAAACCUAGCGGUGUUGAAACUCAAUGAGCAAGCCGUCUUAGACAAACUAAAGAACAAAUGGUGGUACGAUAAGGGAGAGUGUGGAAGCAAGGACUCCGGAAGAAAGGUCAGUCCAUGUGUUGGUCCUAUACUUAACACCAAGAUUGAGCAUUAGCACUUCUGUAAGGUCCCUCGUCCCCUCCCUAGCACUCAGCACUUUUUCUCUUUGUCUCCAAUCUGCCAUUUACCCAAACUGGUGUCCUUAUAACUGCGAUUCAUGUCAGCGUGGAACUCAGACACCUUAGUGAUUAGUGUUAAUUGCUGUGUCCUCACGUCCUAUGGAUAAGUCAACGGCCCGUAAUUAGAUCUUGGCAAAUGCUUGUUUCAUCUAACCAAAACGUAUACCUAGUGUUGGAUUCUCUUCUCCAAAAUCCGAGUAGCUAAUGCUGAUGCAGCCAAUUGUGAUGAUAACAAAUAGAAGUUGUAUUGUGUAUGAAAAACAUGGCUAAAAACCAUAAAGUUACUGUCAGCUUUUCCCAUGUCUGGGAUAUUCUUGAGUCAUCAACGGACAAAGUAUUCACUGUUUGCUGACUGAAUUUAAUUUUGAUUGAUUUGUGAUCUUAACUUUCAAAAUCGAAUAAAGAGACACAAGUGUAAAUGACGGUGCGGAGAGAAAGCCCUUGAUACGAGACCAACUCCAUAUCUCGAUCUUCUCUCCCAGAAUCGGCCCCUCUAGUGCUGUUUUCCUCGUCUCUGUCUUUUAUUUAGACAGUGUGCAUGCUAUUGUAUAAGACCCAAGGCACGGCCUGUUGGCCACCAAACCCAGACCAUGCAUGUCAUGGAUGUGCACAACCCUCUUGUGGUGUCAUGACUACUAUGGUUUGUCGGAACCAAUUGCCCUCCCUUAUUUGGUGCAUUUAUUUGAAAAUGUAAUGAUAUCUUAUAGAGGUACCCCUACCUAUGAAGUAAACCUAAAACAAUGUUGACCUUUUUUCCUCUUGCAUGGUUCCACUCUAUUUAGAAUACACAACACCAACUACAUAUAAUUCUGGGACUUCCUGGUUUAAGUAAAGGAUAAAUAAAUAAGCGAGGAGAUGUAGAAUGGAAUUCAUGGUUUUUUUCAUGCAUAUGUGAUUUUGACUGAGUGGAAAUUAUGUCACGUAAAAGAUACAGUAUACCAUAAAUGCACAUGAAUUCGCUACUUUAUGAGGAUAUGUUCACCCCAAGCUUGUUAGAUAUGCAUGACUCUGCAUGUUUCCGUCAGUCUUAGACACAUACUGUAUCAAGUUUGUUGUUGAUAGGAGUCACUUAAAUUAGAAAGGCAUGCCAGCACCUUUAUAGGUGAUAAACAAUAACCUGUUGAUUAAUCAUGAAGGCACGCUUAAUGGUAUGCGCCGUAUAAGGUCACUAUGACAGUGUAGUAGCCUUAGAGAGCAGUUGUAUGUUUAUCCUACCUUUUAUACUUGUGUAUUAUGAUGUGCUGUGGUGUGUCUCUUGGGCGUGAUUUGGUGCAGCUCACCCUGUGUCUCUGUGUCUGUAGGACAAGACCAGUGCUCUGAGCCUCAGCAAUGUGGCUGGGGUGUUCUACAUCUUGAUUGGUGGGCUGGGGCUGGCUAUGCUCGUGGCCUUGGUCGAGUUCUGUUACAAGUCCAGGAUUGAGUCCAGGAGGAUGAAGCAAAUCAUUGAUGCGGCCAUGCUGAGCUCCACCCUGAGCAGAAUGACCAGGACAGGGAGCGGGGGAGAGAACGGACGGCUGGUCGCACAUGACUUCCCCAAAGCUGCCCAGACUCUCCCCUGCAUGAGCCAGGCGGGCAUGGGCCUGAGCACCACGGGCAUGUGAUCGGGCAGCCUUUCCCCAAACCCCACAAAAAUGAGGAAAGGAAAAAGAGAAGGUGGGAAAGUGUUGCACUGCGGCAUUUCGCUCAACCGCCACUGAACUACUGCCAAGAGGAUUCACUGACUGCUCACGUUGGACUCCUGAAGAUAGAAAAUACGAACAAAAUGACUUGUCUAAAGAGAUUUAUCCGGAUCUCUUCUGCUGCAAUAAAGAGGCUGUCUUGGACUUUGAUCGAGGGCAUAAUUUCGAGGUGUAUCUAAAAAGAGAAGCUCUUCCCCCAACCCAAGAAUAGUGACACUUAUUGCACUAUGCCAAUUCAGUUUGUCCUGUUUACUUUGAUAUAUCAAUAACAGUCAUGAACAGCUAUGUCGUCUGCCUUAUACUGAACAGUGGUUUUGUUCCUUGAGACGCAAAGAUCCAAGCAUUUCCAAAUCCAAACAUUUGGCUCACAUCCACUUAGUACACUAUCUAUAGAUGCAUACAGUAUACUGAAUAAAAGUAUUGUUGUAUGUUUGCACUGGAAGGACACAUCACAGGACUGGAUGAUUUUGUUUUGUCAUUCUGUUAAUGUCACUCCAUUGAAAUGGAAUGCCUCCUACUUACAGAUGUCCUCUCUAAUUUGCUCAACACCUGACAUGGUGAAAAAUGUGACAUUUUGAAAUGACUAUUUAGAGCAAAGUUUUUGUGCAGACAUGACAUAUUUCCCAACCAUUUUCUCUGUUGUUCAUAAAUGUUUUAAACCACCAGUCUGUAGGCAAUCUAUUACCUGUCAUUUGAUACCACAGUGAUAUCCUUUAAGUGCAGUGACGUUUGGCAAGAAUCCAACUAGAUUUCAAACUGAGGUGAAAGGAUUAAACGGAGUACAGAUAGAAGAGAUGAUAAUUUCUACCUGCUAUUUCAUGAUGCAUUUUGCCAUUAAUACUUCAGGGUUGAAGUAUAAGCCAUUGACAAAGAGAUGGAAAUGUUCCACUACCAAUUAGCUGGUAAGUAGAUGGCAGUACAACAUCUAGUGGUUUAACAUCUUUGACAUUAAUGAGAUGAUUAAUAGAGUGGCUUUAGAGCUGCAAAUGAGGGGAUGUGAGAGGAUGGCAGAAUUAGCCCACAAAUUAAGGUGUGCCUUUUUAUUUAACUCUACGAAUCCACUAACAUUUCAUUCUUUUAAACCUACUAAAUUAAAAUAAGGCAUAUGAUUGAAGACAGUUUCCCACAGCUGAUCCAUAGUACAUCUAAGGUGAGUACCAGUACAUGAAUGGAUUUGUGAUAAACAUUCCCAUUUAAGAACACUCUUAAAAUGGACUCAAAAUACACACUGUAUAUUAUACAUGGUAUUCUACUGUUAAGGGAAAGCAUCUCAUAGUCCACUGAGCAGCCAUCCAUCGUAUCUGUUACUAUCCAUCACCUAAUAUGUUACUGUAUGACUUGAGAGUAAUUGUAUUCUAUACAUUUUCUCCCUAUUUGUCAUCAUCUUUGGCAUAGCACAAUAAAAGGGAGUGUCACAUAACAGAAAAUGUUUUUGUACCUUAAUCAAUUUGUUAAAAAAAUUAAUAAUAUCCACAUUUGUAUGAUAUGAACUAUAUGUGCAGACACCCUGAUGAUAUUGAAAUGGUGUUCCAUUCAGUUGACUAUUGGUUCAGACAGUUUUGUUUUAAUCUGUUUUCAGUCCAAUUCAUUUUGUGCAUUUAUAGUGAGAUUCAAUGUAUGUUGUCCUUUAAAUACUAUUUUUUGGUCUGCCACUACUUUGUUUAAUUUACUUCUAAAAAUGCAAGAAACAGCUACCUUAUGUCUUUGUGUUCACAUUUGUCUCAAGAGAUAACUUUUAGAAAAGACUAAUCCAAGAUGUGACUUGGAUUUCAAUAGGUGGGGACAUAAAACUUUGUUUAGUCACAGUGCUCUCAAUAAAAUAACUUUUGUAACCACA